rnacentral:rRNA from 1 species
ACUCUCUGUCUGUUACUGACGCUGAGGCUCGAAGCGUGGGGAGCAAACAGGAUUAGAUACCUGGUAGUCCACGCCGUAAACGAUGAGUGCUAAGUGUUAGGGGGUUCCGCCCUUUAGUGCUGCAGCUAACGCAUUAAGCACUCCGCUGGGGAGUACGACCGCAAGGUUGAAACUCAAAGGAAUUGACGGGGGCCCGCACAAGCGGUGGAGCAUGUGGUUUAAUUCGAAGCAACGCGAAGAACCUUACCAGGUCUUGACAUCCUUUGACCACUUUAGAGAUAAAGCUUUCCCUUCGGGGACAAAGUGACAGGUGGUGCAUGGUUGUCGUCAGCUCGUGUCGUGAGAUGUUGGGUUAAGUCCCGCAACGAGCGCAACCCUUAUUGUUAGUUGCCAUCAUUCAGUUGGGCACUCUAGCGAAACUGCCGGUGACAAACCGGAGGAAGGUGGGGAUGACGUCAAAUCAUCAUGCCCCUUAUGACCUGGGCUACACACGUGCUACAAUGGACAGUACAAUGAGCAGCGACACGGCGACGUGAAGCGAAUCUCAUAAAGCUGUUCUCAGUUCGGAUUGUAGGCUGCAACUCGCCUACAUGAAGCCGGAAUCGCUAGUAAUCGCGGAUCAGCACGCCGCGGUGAAUACGUUCCCGGGCCUUGUACACACCGCCCGUCACACCACGAAAGUUUGUAACACCCAAAGUCGGUGAGGUAACCUUCGGGAGCCAGCCGCCUAAGGUGGGAUAGAUGAUUGGGGUGAAGUCGUAACAAGGUAACCA